rnacentral:lncRNA from 1 species
GUCUGAUCUGGCUUCUCUGGCAACUUCCAACAGGGGACAAACAAUUCUUAAGUUGUGGAGAGUUAGCUGUCAGGCAAAUUAUGAACAGUGGGAAAGAACAGAUAAGAGAGAACUUGGAGAUUAAUCUUUUUCCUUUCAUCUCUUCAAUAGACAAUUCUGGGACAUAGACUCCUGGUACAGACUGACCAAGACAUCUCACAUGACCAAGCAAUGGGACAUGUCUCUUCUUAUCUCAUGAAACACCUCUAGAUUCUACAUCAUUAUGGAUGCAGUCUACUACAUUCACUAGUGAAUCUCCAGCAUCUAGUUGCCAUAUAUCAUAAGCGAGGAUACAUGAGUUCAGGAGGAAAGAAAUGCAAAUGGAAGAGGUGCAUCUAACUAUUACAUUCAUGACUUACUUGUAAAUGUACGGUUCACGCCUUGUGAGCUCUGUUCACGGGUCUUAUAGCAAAAGAAAGAUUGCAUACAUGAGGGAAUAUCAUGAGAAGAAUAGUUCUUGGCUAGCUUACUGGUCCCUGAAGAAGGAAGAAAGACACAUGGAGCAUAGCUGAGAUCAGCCAAACCUCCUGUAAGAAAAUGCCCAGGAUUACUUGUGUGCCCAAGAUAAAGGUGUUAAAUUAUUUUUUCUUACAAAGACAAUUCAUGAUCUUUACAAACGUAUUCUGUGAUUAAAGAUAAG